rnacentral:lncRNA from 1 species
CCAAUACCCAAUACCCUAAUUCCCUCUAUAGAGAAAAGACCUAAUUUCUCUUAACAAAAAAAAGAAGCUAUAGCGGCAACUCCAAAAGACCCCCCUUAAAAGAAAUCAUCAGCUGCUGACCCCAAUCUCCUUUACAAAAAAUUAGCGAAAAACAGAAGUUUUUCUUCUCCAACACCCAUCCCACACCAACGACUAACACCCACAUACCCGUUUUCCAGCCAUCGCCACCCCCCGGCGUUCUUAUUCAUCAUUGAAAACCUAAGAACAUGCCUGCCAUCUUUUUCUUCAAUAGAAGAAGCAACGCCAAUCCCUGAACUUAAAACCCUAGCAGCAUUCCGCUCCUCCUCAGCCGCCGGAACCCUAGUUCCCCUUCAAAAAAUUUCCAUCGCCACUGCAACUCUGAUCUCUCACCUAAGUGCCGACCUCACCUAGACAUGGAAGAAAACAAAGCAACAUCUCUUGGAGGCCAGGGGAAACGGCCAGAAUUUCAAUAGAAAGAGAGGGGCACAAAAUAGAGGGAGACGGACAGAGGAAGCUUCGUUCUCAGUUUUUGGAUUUUCCGUACAGGUUUCCUUUCAAUUCCAUAGAGAACAUAUAAAAAUACAAAAAAAAUCAGUUCUUUCAUCUUUCUUAGUUUAUUUCAAAGGUCAGAAAAAUUCAAAAAUAAAGGUUUCGUUCUUCUUUUGGAUUCUCGUUGGGAGGUUUAUUGAUUUGAGUUGCUGUUCGAAGUCGAUUUCGUGGUUCUCUGUUCGAUUCAUGUGCUGUAUCUCAUUAGAAUUUUGUGAAUUAAAGUCGAAUUUUUCAUUGAAUCCUUUACUGUUAAAGAUUUCGGCUUUACAUUUUUAUUCCCAUAUCUCUCUUCUUUAUUUAAUCUUGUUUGAAGAGGAUCGAGCUGUAUAGGAGUCGUUGAAAAAUGGAUUAAAUAAGCAGUUAUUUCGAAGAUUAUGUUUAACUUCCCUUUGAUGCGAGUUUAUGUUUUGUGUUGAUUACGUGAUCAUUGAAUCAUCCUGGCUAAAUCUCCGAGAUGAUAAAUGAGCACGAAUUAUUUGAAUCUCUGUUUAUGUGUUUGCUUGUGAUAUUUAUUGAAGAAAUUUCAUUAGUUCAUAUCCCGAUUUGCCGUGGAUUUUGAUUUUCUUGCUGAUAUUCCUAUGUUGAAACGAUAAAUUGAAUUCACUACUGAUGGAUAUGAAUUUUGAUUUAUAUGAUGUGAAUAUAGGGAAAUCUUACGGACGGGAAAACCAAGUAAAGAAAAAUUUAUUCUCUGUUCUUUUAUGAAUGUUUAUGAAAUAUUGGAAAAAUCUAAAAGAAAACUUAAUAUCAAAUUGCAGAUCAUUUUGGGUUCUUUGUUGUAUUUAUUUCUUAUUUUUUCUAGUGUUUCUAGCAAGUGUAAAUGUGGAGGAUUUGGUUUAGGAUAGAACUGAUCACAUCUUUCGUUUAAGAUACUUAGUCCUUUUGGUUUAAUUAGUACAUUGACUACCAAAAAUUAUUUCCAUAAUUCUUAAAUCUUCAUGUUUGAUUUCAAACUUAGGAAUUAAUAAUUCUGAACAUUCGUAGAAAUGCGUUAGGCACACCCUUAAUUAAUCGAAUAUUGUGAUUAUGUAUAUGUUCACGUAACAUAAUUAUGAUUUUUCUAAACUUAAAACCAAGGUAUGCAUUCGCGCAACUUUGGCCAAGCUUUUUCCUAAAUAAUUAAGUGUUAGGAAUCGUGGACACAUACACGUGACAUGAUUCUUGAUGCACCGAACAAAAUGAGUACAUGUACGUGUGACUCGUUUCAGGUUAAUUUCUUAAAUAAAAGCGGUAAGAGGUAAAAAUGUAUAUAGGUUCUGAAAUGAGUAAUUAGACAAUUUAAUUAAGCCAUGUAUGAUUAAAGCGACCGUGCUAAAACUACGGAACCCAGGAAUGACCAACACCUUCUCCCGGGUUAACAGAAUUCCUUACAUGGAUUUCUAUAUUUUGCGGACUGUAAAACAGAGUCAAACUUCCUCGAUUCGGGAUUUUAAGCUGGUGACUUGGGAUACCAUAAAUUAUCUCAAGUGGUGACUCUGAAUUUGAAUAAAUAAUUCCGCCUCGGUUAUUGUCACUUUAAUUGAUAAAACUCCCUUAUAUACCCUUUCGGGGUGUAAAAAGGAGGUGUGAUAGCUCUAGCGACUCUGUUGGGGAUAAGAACCCAGAAAUUCUAGUUCAGGGUUCAGAAUUCGAGCUUGUUUUGUGAUUUUUACUUGGCUUUAUUUAUUGUUCAUAUUAUCGUAUUUGUGGACCUAGUAUGCUAACUGCUGAUUAUUUACCGCUUUGAUAUUAUUUGAAUUGUAUUAAACUGUCUUCUUAUGCCUCCCACCUGAGUCUUCUAAAAAAUGGUGCACACAUUCGCGUGGUCCACUUUUCUGUUAGAAGUUAUACCAAAUAGAGCGAGGCUGGGCCAGCAACAAGGCCAGGCAGACUUUCGUGCUCCCGAUACGUUGCCCCCAUCUCGGCUAGAGUUGUCUGCUCGAGUAAGUCAGGUCUAGAACACACCCCCAGGUUUCAACCUAGAAUGACAUAACCUCAUGUCGGAUUCCUAGUAGGCACAUUUUUUUGCAUCAUGUGCAUUUGACUUAGGGGACUCAACAUAGGGGUUGAGUCCGUCUAGGAGAGGUGUACCCAAAAAUAAAAGACCACCCUGAUGCAUCUUAUGUGCUACAUGUUCCAUUCUUCAAGGGUAAAAAGGGGUCAUUUGGCGGACUAAUGAUGGUUGAGGGUAAAUGAGAAAAAAAGAGGGUGAAGUGUAAAAAAUAAAGCAAGUAGAGCCUAGUUAUGUUUUUCUUUCACAUUUUUUUAAGAAAAAGACAAAAAAAUGAAAAAUCUAAAAAGAUUUUUCACUUUUCCAUCAUUUUUCAAAAAAAAAAGGACAAAAAAUAUAUUUUCUCUAAGUUAGUUAUUUUUUUAAUUCUUGCCCGUAUCCAAUCUCCCGAACUACGCGAACCUGAUUCUCGUCUCUCAGGGCGGGAUACGUAGGCAACCCACAUAGGGUCCGGUCUUCCUAGUGAGUCUUAGGUUCUUGGCUUUGAGGGUCGUAGCCAAAUCUUGCAUGUCUAGCCACUUUCGGCCACAUCGGUCAUUUUGCAAAAUAGGGCUAUUUUUGCAAAGUGGUUUGUUUAAUUGUGUCUAGAGAGCCUUCAAUCCAUAAUUAGGUGUCUCUUUACUUUACAGGUCCGUCCUUAUCGAAUUUGCAUGUCUAGCUGCUUUUUGCCACAUCGGUCAUUUUUGCAAAAUGGAAUCAUUUUCGCAAAAGUGGUUCAAUUAACCCAUGUCUUAGAGUCGUAAGUCCACAACAAGGUGUCCUCUCUAUUUGGGAUCCAUUGUGUUGAAUUUGCAUGCUUAGCCAUUUUUGUCCACAUAGACCAUUUCUAUAAAAUGAGUAAUUUCUGCAGAAUAAUUUUCCCAUGUCUUAGAGGUCACUUUUGUCGAGUUUGCACUUCUAGCCACCUUUUGGCCACGUAAGCCAUUUUGCCAAAACAGCCUCAAUCAUGUCUUGCAUGUGUCCAAUAGGAAGUGUUAUUGUCUCACAUAGUGUUCUAGGUCUUUAACUUUAUUUGGUCUUAAUUUUCUCAUACAGGUGUGGAUCUACUUACCGGAGUUUGAGCAUGACAAACACCCCGGGACCGUCUGGUCAGGACUGUUGCAUCCAAGAGUUGCUUAAGGAGAUUUUUUAUGUUUUGAGGCUGUUUCUUUUUAUGUUGUCUUGUACUUUAUAGUCAUGUUCAGUAGUAAUGAUUCUUUUAGUUGGCGUCGGAGUUUGUCGUAGUGUAGUUGAGUUGAGUCUCUUGUUAUCAUAU